rnacentral:rRNA from 1 species
AUCUACAGCCAUGCCACCCUGAACAAGCCCGAUCCUGUCUGAUCUCAGAAGCUAAGCAGGGUCGGGCCUGGUUAGUCCUUGGAUGGGAGACCACCUAGGAAGACCAGGUGCUGUAGGCG